UAUUAGUACCGAUCUGGUAGACACUGUGUUAGUCAGCUGCUUGUUUACCUCGUAUAGUAGUACUACACCGAUCAAUGACUGGACUUCAAAGGGCUGUUUGGUGGACAGAAUAUGUCAUCAGGCACAAGGAAACGAGCCACUUUACCAGCCCUACAGUUGAUAUCACCUGGGUGGAAUAUUUGUUGUUAGACAUUAUCGUGUUUGUGGUUGGUGUACUUUUAGUGACUGUGUACAUAUUAAAUAAGGCUAUAAAUUUCCUGAUUUACUGGUUUACAUGCAGGAAGGUUAAAGUUAGCUAAUAUUUUUGGCAGAUCAGUUUGUGAUGUUUUUAUUUAUUAAUAUUUGUCGAAUUGUUGUAUCAAUAUAUUUUGCACGAAUUAACGUAUGCAUUCAUAUGUUUAUUUAUUUUAAAACUGACGGGGUAAGAGAAAUUGACAGAACAGAUAUUGUAUUUUUUUAAUUUCGUGUAAAUGUAAUUUUGCGUGUUGCUCUGUGUCAAGGGCGAUGUCAGUCAAGAAAGCAAGACAUUUCUUUCAAAAUUACGUUAUUUAAUAAUUACAAUAUGUUAGGUUUUUGAAUAAAUGUUAUUUAGGCAUGUUA